GAGGGCGGGACGUUGCCCUAAACUUGGGGGGGCCAUGCU
rnacentral:SRP_RNA from 1 species